rnacentral:lncRNA from 1 species
AGAAGCUCUCAAGUUCCUCUACAGGGGAUGCUUGAGGCUCAUGUUCCAUUAUGCGGGGGUCGAGUUCAUCAACGAUUAACGCCUCCUGAAUAGGCGGUGCGUCAAUCAUAUCAACAUCUUCCUGGCCGGCGGGAGCGUCACCUGGGACAUCCGCCAUGACCACAUCAGCCAUGAUCACGUGGACGUCCCGGGGCUCUACCUUCUUAAUGGAGCUCAGAUAGCACUCUCGCGAACCUCUCUGGUCGCCCUUCACCGUUG